GCCUGCCCAAUGGUUGUAUCUAAAAGCGGUUGAUAAAAGUCGACCUCGUAAGGACAAUUGAAUGGCCGCGGUAACACUGACCGUGAUAAUGUAGCGUAAUCAAUAGCCAAUUAAUUGUUGGCCAGUAUGAAUGGCGCCACGAAGGCCCCACUGUCUUAAGGAAAUUCCCAGUGAAAUUGAAUUCGUAGUGAAGAUGCUACGUCCAAUUUGUUAGACGAAAAGACCCCGUUGAGCUUUACUGGGGCACUUACACGGCCCCGGCCUUCCAAACUAGGCUUACUAUGCCUAGAGGUCGGCCGAAUUUAAAUGGGUGGUUUAGAUUAUGUGGCAGCCCCCCGUCGGGGCAGAUGAAACCCCACUCCCCCAUGUCAAAGGGGCUAACCCCCCCCCUUGGGGGGGGACAGUGUAAGUAGGACAGUUUGGUUGGGGCGACCGCCUUUUAAAGAGUAACGAAGGUGCGCUUAAGGUGCGCAAAUAAUGACUGAAGCCUGACUGCGAGGGGGACACCCCGAGCAGACACCCCCAAGCCUGCCCUAAGGGCGGCGGUGGGGUGGGCCAUAGUGACCCGUUAAUUUAGAGUGGAAUAG
rnacentral:rRNA from 1 species